GAAAAGGAUAAAUAGCAGUAGUCAGUGAACUUGUUUGUAUGCGCCUCUGUGAUUUUCUUGUGGGUUCUUCUUCCUACUCUUUUUUCAUAGUUGUUAGUAGUCUAGAUAAUUACUUUUUAUUAGUCAUUCCUUUAACAAGGAAAAUGUUCUGUGAUCAGUUUUCUCUUGUGCUCAUUUUCAUUUCCUGAUAAUAAAUUGUAGAAGCGUGAUAACUUUGUUUUUAACUAGUAAACUAGACUUUUCAAAUCCCAUCUUUUGGUUAAUUAUAAAGAUUUGUUAUCUAUGGU
rnacentral:misc_RNA from 1 species